rnacentral:rRNA from 1 species
ACGUACAAGCAGUGGGAGCACAGGUUUACCUGUGUGACUGCGUACCUUUUGUAUAAUGGGUCAGCGACUUAUAUUCUGUAGCAAGGUUAACCGUAUAGGGGAGCCGUAGGGAAACCGAGUCUUAACCGGGCGUUAAGUUGCAGGGUAUAGACCCGAAACCCGGUGAUCUAGCCAUGGGCAGGUUGAAGGUUGGGUAACACUAACUGGAGGACCGAACCGACUAAUGUUGAAAAAUUAGCGGAUGACCUGUGGCUGGGGGUGAAAGGCCAAUCAAACCGGGAGAUAGCUGGUUCUCCCCGAAAGCUAUUUAGGUAGCGCCUCGUGAAUUCAUCUCCGGGGGUAGAGCACUGUUUCGGCUAGGGGGCCAUCCCGGCUUACCAACCCGAUGCAAACUGCGAAUACCGGAGAAUGUUAUCACGGGAGACACACGGCGGGUGCUAACGUCCGUCGUGAAGAGGGAAACAACCCAGACCGCCAGCUAAGGUCCCAAAGUCAUGGUUAAGUGGGAAACGAUGUGGGAAGGCCCAGACAGCCAGGAUGUUGGCUUAGAAGCAGCCAUCAUUUAAAGAAAGCGUAAUAGCUCACUGGUCGAGUCGGCCUGCGCGGAAGAUGUAACGGGGCUAAACCAUGCACCGAAGCUGCGGCAGCGAACGUAUCACCCAAGACAACUUUACGGAGUUGACGAUUGACGGAGCGAAGCGACGUCAAAGCGUUCAUUAAAGUCGAGUUGGCUUAGGGAUACGUUCGUUGGGUAGGGGAGCGUUCUGUAAGCCUGUGAAGGUGUGUCGUGAGGCAUGCUGGAGGUAUCAGAAGUGCGAAUGCUGACAUAAGUAACGAUAAAGCGGGUGAAAAGCCCGCUCGCCGGAAGACCAAGGGUUCCUGUCCAACGUUAAUCGGGGCAGGGUGAGUCGACCCCUAAGGCGAGGCCGAAAGGCGUAGUCGAUGGGAAACGGGUUAAUAUUCCCGUACUUGGUGUUACUGCGAAGGGGGGACGGAGAAGGCUAUGUUGGCCGGGCGACGGUUGUCCCGGUUUAAGCGUGUAGGUGUGUGUUCCAGGUAAAUCCGGUUCACUUUAACACUGAGGCGUGACGACGAGGCACUACGGUGCUGAAGCAACAAAUGCCCUGCUUCCAGGAAAAGCCUCUAAGCAUCAGGUAACAUCAAAUCGUACCCCAAACCGACACAGGUGGUCAGGUAGAGAAUACCAAGGCGCUUGAGAGAACUCGGGUGAAGGAACUAGGCAAAAUGGUGCCGUAACUUCGGGAGAAGGCACGCUGACACGUAGGUGAAGUGAUUUACUCAUGGAGCUGAAGUCAGUCGAAGAUACCAGCUGGCUGCAACUGUUUAUUAAAAACACAGCACUGUGCAAACACGAAAGUGGACGUAUACGGUGUGACGCCUGCCCGGUGCCGGAAGGUUAAUUGAUGGGGUCAGCGCAAGCGAAGCUCCUGAUCGAAGCCCCGGUAAACGGCGGCCGUAACUAUAACGGUCCUAAGGUAGCGAAAUUCCUUGUCGGGUAAGUUCCGACCUGCACGAAUGGCGUAAUGAUGGCCAGGCUGUCUCCACCCGAGACUCAGUGAAAUUGAACUCGCUGUGAAGAUGCAGUGUACCCGCGGCAAGACGGAAAGACCCCGUGAACCUUUACUAUAGCUUGACACUGAACAUUGAGCCUUGAUGUGUAGGAUAGGUGGGAGGCUUUGAAGUGUGGACGCCAGUCUGCAUGGAGCCGACCUUGAAAUACCACCCUUUAAUGUUUGAUGUUCUAACGUGGACCCGUAAUCCGGGUUGCGGACAGUGUCUGGUGGGUAGUUUGACUGGGGCGGUCUCCUCCUAAAGAGUAACGGAGGAGCACGAAGGUUGGCUAAUCCUGGUCGGACAUCAGGAGGUUAGUGCAAUGGCAUAAGCCAGCUUGACUGCGAGCGUGACGGCGCGAGCAGGUGCGAAAGCAGGUCAUAGUGAUCCGGUGGUUCUGAAUGGAAGGGCCAUCGCUCAACGGAUAAAAGGUACUCCGGGGAUAACAGGCUGAUACCGCCCAAGAGUUCAUAUCGACGGCGGUGUUUGGCACCUCGAUGUCGGCUCAUCACAUCCUGGGGCUGAAGUAGGUCCCAAGGGUAUGGCUGUUCGCCAUUUAAAGUGGUACGCGAGCUGGGUUUAGAACGUCGUGAGACAGUUCGGUCCCUAUCUGCCGUGGGCGCUGGAGAACUGAGGGGGGCUGCUCCUAGUACGAGAGGACCGGAGUGGACGCAUCACUGGUGUUCGGGUUGUCAUGCCAAUGGCACUGCCCGGUAGCUAAAUGCGGAAGAGAUAAGUGCUGAAAGCAUCUAAGCACGAAACUUGCCCCGAGAUGAGUUCUCCCUGAGACUUAGAGUCUCCUGAAGGAACGUUGAAGACGACGACGUUGAUAGGCCGGGUGUGUAAGCGCAGCGAUGCGUUGAGCUAACCGGUACUAAUGAACCGUGAGGCUUAACCUUACA